AGUGAACGCUGGCGGCAGGCCUAACACAUGCAAGUCGAACGGCAGCACAGUAAGAGCUUGCUCUUACGGGUGGCGAGUGGCGGACGGGUGAGGAAUACAUCGGAAUCUACUUUUUCGUGGGGGAUAACGUAGGGAAACUUACGCUAAUACCGCAUACGACCUACGGGUGAAAGCAGGGGAUCUUCGGACCUUGCGCGAUUGAAUGAGCCGAUGUCGGAUUAGCUAGUUGGCGGGGUAAAGGCCCACCAAGGCGACGAUCCGUAGCUGGUCUGAGAGGAUGAUCAGCCACACUGGAACUGAGACACGGUCCAGACUCCUACGGGAGGCAGCAGUGGGGAAUAUUGGACAAUGGGCGCAAGCCUGAUCCAGCCAUACCGCGCGGGUGAAGAAGGCCUUCGGGUUGUAAAGCCCUUUUGUUGGGAAAGAAAAGCAGCAGGUUAAUACCCCGCUGUUCUGACGGUACCCAAAGAAUAAGCACCGGCUAACUUCGUG
rnacentral:rRNA from 1 species